rnacentral:rRNA from 1 species
UUGAACGCUGGCGGCAGGCCUAACACAUGCAAGUCGAGCGGAUGAAGGGAGCUUGCUCCUGGAUUCAGCGGCGGACGGGUGAGUAAUGCCUAGGAAUCUGCCUGGUAGUGGGGGAUAACGUCCGGAAACGGGCGCUAAUACCGCAUACGUCCUGAGGGAGAAAGUGGGGGAUCUUCGGACCUCACGCUAUCAGAUGAGCCUAGGUCGGAUUAGCUAGUUGGUGGGGUAAAGGCCUACCAAGGCGACGAUCCGUAACUGGUCUGAGAGGAUGAUCAGUCACACUGGAACUGAGACACGGUCCAGACUCCUACGGGAGGCAGCAGUGGGGAAUAUUGGACCAUGGGCGAAAGCCUGAUCCAGCCAUGCCGCGUGUGUGAAGAAGGUCUUCGGAUUGUAAAGCACUUUAAGUUGGGAGGAAGGGCAGUAAGUUAAUACCUUGCUGUUUUGACGUUACCAACAGAAUAAGCACCGGCUAACUUCGUG